UUAUGGAAACCAUUUAAUGAUUCAAUACAAUUUAUGACUCAAUAUUUUAAAUUUUUUUAUAUAUUUUUUUGUUGUAUUAAACAUUCUCACCAUAUCAUAAUAAAAAUUAUAAAUAUUUUGCUAAGCAUUUGCUGAUAUGCCUACAACAACUAACCAAAACUUACAUAUAACCACAUUUCAAAAACCUAACUACAUAUACACAUACAUAUAUGUCAAUACAGUAUAUGAAAAAGUCACAUGACAACUGUGCUUUUACAAUAAUAAUAAAAUAAAGUAACACUACUCGGUAUACAACAACAAGAACGAAAAUAUUUUCGCACAUAAAUUUGAUAAAUAAUUAAAGCAAAUAUAUCCGUAGUUUGCACUGAAAUGCAAAAGCAAAAAGUUAUCAAACAAAACAUUUUGUUGGCGAUUGAAAUUUGAUAAAUGCUGUGAGGUUAUGUUUGACGGAUAGAAAAACGAAGAUUGAAAAUUAAUUUCAAAUAAUUUAUAUGGUCAAUUUUGAGUUUGAAAAGCAUUGCCUUCAGAUACUGGUGAGAAGAGGGUGAGGAAGUCAGCAUAAAACUGCAAACUUUCAAUUGCCAACAGGGUGUCCCAACUACGUUUAAUCACCAGCUCACCAAAUCAAAAUAUGCAACCGAAUACAAUAACCCAACAACAUACAUACACACAUACUUACUUAUAUAAAUGCAUAAAAAUAUACUUGCAAUAAAAAAGUUUCACUAAACAUAUUCAAAUAAGUAAGCAAAAAACAUUUAAGACAAAAAACAUAAAAAUAAUGCAUCAAAGUAAAUGUGAUUUGUGCUGAACCACAAAAACCUAAAAACAGUAAUAAAUAAUUAUUAUACGAAUAACAGGCAUUAAAUGAAGAUUACAGCAAAACGGACCCUCACACUAAAGUUAAAACUUUACUUAACUAAAAAUGAAAUGAAAGCAUUUACUUCAUAAAAACAAAACUUUUAGGCGCCCAAAAACAAAUUUCUAAGAAAGCUGUAUAGAGAAAAAUAUUAAAAUUAAUAAGUAUUUGAAAACUAAAACUCGUAUCUGUGCUAAUAUUUCGAUAACAGUGUUGCGGUGGCGAACAAUUUUGGCUAAACAUUUUGGAAAGACUGAAACGAAAUUGAAAAACUGAAAUUUGAGAUUAAAAAUUGUUGAAAAUUUUGUUAAAGCAUAAUAAUGAUAAUGCAGCUAGGAAAGAAACCAGAAAAAAACUAUGAAGAAAUUUAAAAAAAAUAAAGAAGAAAGAAAAAACAAAGUAGAAAUAAUUUAAUAAAAUAUUAACAGAAUAACAAAAUGAGAGUGCAAAACUGUGUGUUUGAUGAAAGAAAAAUUCAAAAUCGAAAAAAAUAUUUUGAAAGCUAAAAAAAUAAUAUUUUAGGGGAACAUUAUUUCUUUUUUGUGCUAUUUUUUUAAGUUUAGAAGUAAAAUCUUUUAAACUUAUAUUUCAUAAUUUUUUAAUUUCUAGUUACAUAAUGAAGUAAUGACACUACAAUUUUAAAACUUUAUGAUAUUAUCGUGCAAAUGUGCAUUAUAAUUGCAAUGCUAAAUACAGGUAUUUUGAUUAAAUUACUUUUUUAAUCUAAAUUCAUUUUUUGUCACUAAAAAGUAGAUGACACAAUGAGAUUUUAAGGAAAAUAUUUUAAACUAAUUUUUCUAAAAUAAAAAUUUUCAAAAUUUUUCAAAAAUAAAAAAUUUCUAAAUUUUUAAAUAAAAAAAUUUAUAAAGUUUUCAAAAAAAAUUUUAAUUUUUACAAAAAUAAAAAAAUUUUAAAAUCUUUAGAAAAUAAAAAAAAAAUUAAAUGUUUCAAAAAUA